rnacentral:rRNA from 1 species
GAUGAACGCUGGCGGUGUGCUUAACACAUGCAAGUCGAACGAGCAGCCCGGAGUAUUUCGGUACACUGGGUGGGCGAGUGGCGAACGGGUGCGUAACACGUAGGGACCUGCCCUGGAGAGGGGACAACGGCUGGAAACGGCUGCUAAUCCCGCAUGGUCCCGGUCUUCGGAUCGAGUAAAACUCAGGUGCUCCAGGAGGGGCCUGCGGCCUAUCAGGUAGUUGGUGGGGUAACGGCCUACCAAGCCGAUGACGGGUAGGGGGCGUGAGAGCGUGACCCCCCACACGGGAACUGAGACACGGUCCCGACGCCUACGGGCGGCAGCAGUGAGGAAUCUUGCGCAAUGGGGGCAACCCUGACGCAGCGACACCGCGUGCGGGAGGAAGGCCUUCGGGUCGUAAACCGCUUUUCUGGAGGACGAGGACGGACGGUACUCCAGGAAUAAGUCCCGGCUAACUACGUG